rnacentral:lncRNA from 1 species
CGUUUUUUGCCUGUUUACAUAUUUUUACGCGUAAUGAUUUUCGAAUGUAAUAAGGGGAAGUCCCAACAAAAAAAUGUUACUCUAUGUGUAUCAAUUAUUGCAAAUCUAGUUAUAAUGUAUUUAGUUAGCGGCCGGUGCAGUUGUUUUGCUUUACAAUGGAAGCUAAAUCAGAAAAAAAUAAAAAACGCAAAGGCAUUUCUUUAGAAACAAAAAUAAAAGUUUUGGACUUUCUAGAGCAGGGAGCUGGCCCAACAAAUGUGGGAAAGAGACUUGGACUCAGUAAAUCUUCAGUGCGGCCAAUAAAAAAAAAUGAAAAUGCAAUUAGAAAAUCUGUAGUUUCCGGCAAAUAUCUAAAUGCGAAGAAAACUUCAUACUCAAGAAAUGUUUUUAUUGAAGAAAUGGAAAACCUAUUAGCAGUUUGAAUUGAGGAUCUCAGCCAGAAACGAAUCCCAGUUGAUACUACAACAAUAAAACAAAAAGCUCUACAUAUUUGUUCACUGGAUGGCCAAUAAAAAAGCCUGGGUAACUGGAAAUAUAUUCCAAGAAUGUGCAUUAUGGAAAAACUGGACGAAAAUCCUGAAUUGGACUUCACCGAUGCUUGGAAAAAUUUUUCUAUCAAGAAUUGCAUCUUGUACGCGUCAAAAGUAAUUUCUGAAAUAAGGCAACAUACGUUAAACGCAUGCUGGAAAUCUCUCAAAAUGUGUUAAAAGUGGUAUGUCCGUGACAAGCAAUUCAACUAAUUAUUCAGAUAUCAUUGAUUUAGCAAGCUCCGCGGGAAGAGAAAUUCUUGCAGAUAUAACGAGAGAAGAUAUUGACGAGAUUCUUCUAGACCGAGAGCUCGAUGAUGACGAUUUAAUUGAAAUAGCUACGGAAGUAAACGAAUCGGGAAAUGGCAGCGACACCUCGAUAGACGAGCAUCCAAUUAAAGCAGAGACGAUUAGGCAAGGUCUUAAACUUGCAGCAGAAUGAUACUGAUGGCGAGCGUGUACGAAUUUUUCAAAAAGAAUUGAGUCUCUGCAUGUUAAGAUAUAAAGAAUUACAUCGGAAUUUAUUGGGUUCAAAAAGAAGCAUUCAAACAAAAUUAACUGAAUUUAUGGAGCAAACUCAGUCGGAGAUGCUUAGUCAAUCAGAGCAUCAAUCCAUAGUUCUUACUAUUGAUUCUGAUACAAAUUCUAGUGAUAUCAGUGCAGGUCAUCAAAAUAAGCGGCUAAGAAUAAUUUCCACUACGGAUAAUGACAGUGAUUAAACAGCAUUCAACGGUUUUUUCAAUAAAUCUACCUAUUUUCUGUUUUCUUCUCUUUUAUAUAUGGUUAUUAAUUCAUAACAAAAUAAAAAAUACAAAACAAAUAUUUUUUAUUUUGUUAUGAAUGAAUAAAUCAUAAGUCUGAAAUUUGAAA